CAUGAAGUCUGCCCAUGCCUAUGUUUUCUUCUAGGGUUUUUGUGGUUUUAGGUUUUAUGUUUAGGUCUUUAAUCCAUCUUGAGUUAAUUUUUGUAUAAGGUGUAAGGAAGGGGUCCAGUUUCAGUUUUCUGCAUAUGGCUAGGCAGUUUUCCCAACACCAUUUAUUAAAUAGGGAAUCCUUUCCCAAUUGCUUGUUUUUGUCAUGUUUGUCAAAGAUCAGGUGGUUGUAGCUGUGUGGUGUUAUUUCUGAGGCCUCUGUUCUGUUCCAUUGGUCUAUAUAUCUGUUUUGGUACCAGUACCAUGCUGUUUUGGUUUGCAAUGCAGUCACAGCAAAGACCUCAGACAAUCCUAUGGGGCUUCUGGAGCUAGAAUGGCCCUUCAAAGCCAUCCUGAAUUGGGAUGGA
rnacentral:lncRNA from 1 species